rnacentral:tRNA from 1 species
GCCGCAGUAGCUCAGGGGUAGAGCACGUCAUUGGUAAUGACGGGGUCGGGAGUUCAAUUCUCCCCUGUGGCACCA